UGUACCAUGCUGGUAGCCAGUGUAAUGAAAGUUGCUCCUGGCAACCAGUGUUGUGCCAC
rnacentral:pre_miRNA from 1 species